UGGAGCUGGUGGCAUGGCGUGCGCUGGCAGUGCCCCUCCCCCAGGGUGGGGCAGCAGGCAUUGCCCUUCUGCUGGAUCAGAUCCAGGGUGCCUUCCCUGCACCAGACGGAGGCCGAGAGCUUCCCAGAGCUGAAGGUGUCCUCCGUCAGGCACAGGAGACCAGGUGAAGGGCCAGAAGGCUGGAGGCAGAAGUCAGAGGGUGGGGAGGAAAGGGAUGCCCGCCUGAUCAUCUGCACCCUUCAGGGAGGGUACAGCCUGGGCCCAUGACCAAGCGCUGGAUGUUCAGGGUGUGCUGGCUGAGGCGGGAACUCACGCAAGAGCUGCAGAGGAAGGUCUGCAGGUGGUGAAACAGACACUCGGAGGCCUGGAGGCCAGUGUACAGGAGGUGGCAGGGUGCCUAGCCCGGGUGACACUGGCAGUAGAUGUGACCCCGGUCCUGGGGCUUCCGUCCAGUGCAGCUGUAGCUCUCAGGACUCGCCUGGCAUUGAGUCAGCGACAGGUCCAGGAGGCAGAGGAGCGUGCAGCACAUGCCAUGGGCUUGGCUGGGGGCCUGGGCAAGGAGAUGCAGGUGGCCCGGAUAGGUGUGGCGGAGUUGCAGGAGGGCACAUACAGCCUGAUGGCUACGGUGCAGGACGCUGAAAAGAGAAUACAGCGAACGCGAGCUGAGGCCCAAGAGCUGCUGAAGCGGGUGCAGAACAGCUGGAGCCGCCUGGAGGGGUUGGAGCGCCGUCUGGUGCGGAAUGAGCAAGCACUGGGCAAGAAGGUGGCCACCCUGUGGGCCCUGGAGCAGCGGGCAGCAGAGCUGCUUGAGCACAUGCAGCUAUGGGCCACCGCAUAUGCCACUUGCUGACUGCUGUCUGUGGAUGCCAAAAAGGGACUCUGGGACUACCUGGGUGACUCAAAGUGACGCCAGAGUGACCCAGGAAUCUCCUGACCUUGAGGGACCACAGACCCCAUUGAGUGCCCACUGACCCUGAGUGACCGCCAUGUUACCCCAUGGUGUCCUUCAGUGGCCCUCUGACCCUGAGAAACUAGAGAGAUCAUGUAAAACUCUGAGGCCAUCUGGCGACCCUGACCCUGAUAGUUCCUUAUCUCAGAGUGAUGUACAAUUCUGAGUCACCUGUAGUAUCCCUGAGCCCCCCAGGUUGACUACAUGACCCCCAGGGUGACUGGGGUCCCCUACUCCAGAUAAUGGGUAACUCCCAGAGACCCUGAAAGUUCAGCAGAUUGACCCCCUGCCCAGAUUCCCCUUGUGAAGCCAGGUGAUUCCCCUAAAGAAUCCCAGGCUUCUCCCCUGGGUCCACAGCUCCAGAUACUCUGCCCCGGGCCCCACAGAACCAGCCCGACCUAGCCCUACAGAUCUUCCGAGUUCGAGGUCCCAGCCGCCCUCCCAGGGGCCUGGGUGGGGCAAGCGAUCGCCGGCAGCCCGCAUUCCAAGCCUGGGCUUCUGCGCUCCCGGCAGGCCGGAAAGUCCGGAGCGGAUAACUAGCUAUAAGAUCUGGAUCCAUUCACUGCUUCUCCCAUUGGUCUGUUGGCAAUGCAGCACCCAGUUUCUUACCGGACGACUGAGAAAGCACCUCUUGUGCCUACUCACUGUAGUGACUAAGGGAGGCGGAGACCCCUGGAGCCAUGCCUUGGGCAGGGGAUGGCCUUUCUCCAUCUGUCUCCCUAACCCCAUCUUGUCUUGUCCCUUGGGUGGGGCGUCCUAAAGCUUUCCAAAUCCCUGAAUAGAGGUGCUUGACGCCCUGAGUGGGUCCUCCCAUUCCCUGCUGAUGCUGGAGCCCUGGGACUGAAUACCUAUUUGCUCGUAACUUCCACAGCACCCACGACCCUGGGGACAAAGGUUAGUUUUCAUGGGCUGUUUGAGGUCUCAAAGAUCAGAUUCUUCACCUUUGCUCAUUCCAUGGCUCCCCUACUUGGUGUGCCCCUUGACUUGUGGCCUACAGCCCCAAACCCCGACCUUCCCCUUGCUCUGCAGGGGUCUGGGCAUGGGGGCACAAUAAAGAUUUGCAGG
ensembl:lncRNA